rnacentral:rRNA from 1 species
GACAGAGGGUGCAAACGUUGUUCGGAAUUACUGGCGUAAAGCGCGUGUAGGCUGCCCCGAAAGUCAGGUGUGAAAGCCCUGGGCUCAACCCAGGAAGUGCACUUGAAACUUCGGUGGCUUGAGUUCUGGAGAGGAUGGCGGAAUUCUCGGUGUAGAGGUGAAAUUCGUAGAUAUCGAGAGGAACACCGUGGCGAAGGCGGCUAUCUGGACAGUGACUGACGCUGAGACGCGAAAGCGUGGGGAGCAAACAGG